rnacentral:rRNA from 1 species
AUUGAACGCUGGCGGCAGGCCUAACACAUGCAAGUCGAACGAGUGGCGGACGGGUGAGUAAUGUCUGGGAAACUGCCCGAUGGAGGGGGAUAACUCCUGGAAACGGUAGCUAAUACCGCAUACCAUCGGAUGUGCCCAGAUGGGAUAAGCUUGUAGGUGAGGUAACGGCUCACCGAGGCGACGAUCCCUAGCUGGUCUGAGAGGAUGACCAGCCACACUGGGAAUGAGACACGGGCCAGACUCCGACGGGAGGCAGCAGUGGGGAAUAUUACGCAAUGGGCGUAAGCCUGAGGGAGCCAUGCGGCGGGUGUGAAGAAGGCGUUCGGGUUGUAAAGUACUGUCAGCGGGGAGGCGUUACCCGCAGAGGAAGCACCGGCUAACUCCGUGCCAGCAGCCGCGGUAAUUC